GAUGAACGCUGGCGGCGUGCCUAAUACAUGCAAGUCGAGCGAACGGACGAGAAGCUUGCUUCUCUGAUGUUAGCGGCGGACGGGUGAGUAACACGUGGAUAACCUACCUAUAAGACUGGGAUAACUUCGGGAAACCGGCGCUAAUACCGGAUGAUAUUUUGCACCGCAUGGUUCAAAAGUGAAAGACGGUCUUUCUGUCUCUUCUAGCUGGAUCCGCGCUGCAUUAGCUAGUUGGUAAGGUAACGGCUUACCAAGGCAACGAUGCAUAGCCGACGUGAGAGGGUGGUCGGCGACACGGGAAAGGAGACACGGUCAAUACGCCUGAGGGAGGCAGCAGUAGGGAACCGUACGCAAUGGGCGAAAGCAUGACGGAGCAACGCGGCGUGAGAGAUGAAGGUCUUCGGAGCGGAAAACUCUGUUAUGAGGGAAGAACAGAUGUGUAAGUAACUGAGCACAGCGUGACGGUACCGAAUCAGAAAGCCACGGCUAACUACGUG
rnacentral:rRNA from 1 species